rnacentral:rRNA from 1 species
AUUGAACGCUGGCGGCAUGCCUUACACAUGCAAGUCGAACGGCAGCACGGGAGCAAUCCUGGUGGCGAGUGGCGAACGGGUGAGUAAUAUAUCGGAACGUGCCCAGUCGUGGGGGAUAACGCAGCGAAAGCUGUGCUAAUACCGCAUACGAUCUAAGGAUGAAAGCAGGGGAUCGCAAGACCUCGCGCGAUUGGAGCGGCCGAUAUCAGAUUAGCUAGUUGGUGGGGUAAAGGCCCACCAAGGCGACGAUCUGUAGCUGGUCUGAGAGGACGACCAGCCACACUGGAACUGAGACACGGUCCAGACUCCUACGGGAGGCAGCAGUGGGGAAUUUUGGACAGUGGGCGCAAGCCUGAUCCAGCAAUGCCGCGUGCAGGAUGAAGGCCUUCGGGUUGUAAACUGCUUUUGUACGGAACGAAACGGCCCUUUCUAAUACAGGGGGCUAAUGACGGUACCGUAAGAAUAAGCACCGGCUAACUACGUGCCAGCCGCCGCGGUAACAC